GGCGCAAGCCUGAUGCAGCCAUGCCGCGUGUAUGAAGAAGGCCUUCGGGUUGUAAAGUACUUUCAGCAGUGAGGAAGGUGGAUGUGUUAAUAGCGCAUUCAUUUGACGUUAGCUGCAGAAGAAGCACCGGCUAACUCCGUGCCAGCAGCCGCGGUAAUACGGAGGGUGCGAGCGUUAAUCGGAAUUACUGGGCGUAAAGCGCAUGCAGGUGGUUUGUUAAGUCAGAUGUGAAAGCCCGGGGCUCAACCUCGGAAUUGCAUUUGAAACUGGCAGACUAGAGUACUGUAGAGGGGGGUAGAAUUUCAGGUGUAGCGGUGAAAUGCGUAGAGAUCUGAAGGAAUACCGGUGGCGAAGGCGGCCCCCUGGACAGAUACUGACACUCAGAUGCGAAAGCGUGGGGAGCAAACAGGAUUAGAUACCCUGGUAGUCCACGCCGUAAACGAUGUCUACUUGGAGGUUGUGGCCUUGAGCCGUGGCUUUCGGAGCUAACGCGUUAAGUAGACCGCCUGGG
rnacentral:rRNA from 2 species